CAGCCAAAUGGUGACUGCUUUCUAAAAGUAAAGGCUGUUGAUCUUUGAAAUUGACUGGAGCGAGCAUCUUUGGAUACUCUCUCCACAGAACUCCUGAGUACAGAAUUCUCAGUCCUUGUCCCACCAGGUUUGACAAUAUGAAAUCUAAUCACCAAUUCGUGAGUGACAGUUCCUUUUCCAUAGAUACCAGAUAAAUGCAUAUGGAAUAUUACAAUAUCCGAGCAAUUGCUCGUCAGGUCCUGGUUGGGCAACAGGAAAAUUUUUUCAUGUAUAUUUCACUUUUUAAAAAGCGACAAAGCUGCAACAUGUAAUUCUGAUACAAGAUCAUCAACGUGAAAAGUUAACUUCUUCAUCUUGAUACAGAGGAGCAAGUGCUGGAUGUCUUGAAAUGCAUAAAGGAUGGAUAAAUUCCCAGGACCUGAUCAGGUGUACCCGAGAACUCUGUGGGAAGCUGGAGAAGUGAUUGCUGGGCCCCUUGCUGAGAUAUUUGGAUCAUCGAUAGUCACAGUCUCUCUGGAAGUCUAUUUGGCCACUCUUUGUGCAGGAAAAGAAACAGAUGUUCAUUCUAAACUUACCUUUCACUAAUUUGAACCAGUGACCUUCUUCUGCUGCCACAACAUGUUGAAGAAUGCUGGCAGGCACCAUUAAAAGAAAGAACAAACAAUGAAAACAGAGCUGGAAUUUGAAUCAUUCAUGGGGUUUUAAUAUUUUGAAGAUUGCUCCAGACCCCAAAAUGAAACCAAGCUACUAAGUUCCUGCACAUCCUAUGAGACUAUAAAGACUACAUUGGAAGAAAAUUGGCCACCCUUCGUGUGCUGCAACAAUUAACUUGUUAAUUGCUGAUUGUACUUAUUUUAGUGAUUGCCUUCUGCAGGACCCAUGAGGGAUUCAGGAUGAAAUGUUUCGGUAACCAAUAGCAUGGGGAGUUUGGUGGAAUUUGUCUGUUUCUGACCCUGAAAUGUUUGUCAUGGCUGCAUUCUAUUGCUCUCCAAAACUGUCUGGUAUUUAUUUUACAUGAUCUCACCUUCAGAUAUUUUUGGUGGUUUUAGUGUUAAAAAAAUGC